AUGCACACAAGUUCCGAGCCUGAAGGGGUGGGCUACGUGCACUGUAUUUUCCCUCUUCACUUACACGUAGCUUCCAGGCGGACUCUCCCCACACCCCUGCGGGAGCCUGGGCCGUGGGCGGCGCGAGAGCACUGCCCCGGGAACGCAGCCUCCCGAGGCUCCCGGCUGGCCGAGCCGUUUCACGCGACUCCCCGAGCACUGCCACUCACACGAACCGCGUCCGGCUGGAUCCUCUUAGCUGCUCUGCAACGAUUCCGAUCCAGUUCAGCAGCGUUUAAAGCAUUAGGAAACUCGUUCAGGGCCACUGAAAAGUCAGGAGAGGCUCACAUCUCAUCUCCCACGGAUUCCUACCUCCAGGGUCAGAUAAUGCCCGGAAACGUUGCCACCAAACAAGUCUGAGAGUAUUAUUUUGGAGAAACCGUUAACCCCUACCAAAAUACAAAGCGCCAGAGGAAAGCAGGUGAGACUCGAAGACAAGGAAGCCCUUUGCGUUCGCUGGUGGAGGAAAGUGCGAUCUGCGGACGGGCUGGGGGGCCCCGGUCCUUCUACUUCAGCACCGGAGGGGAUGGACAGCGUCUCCGGACCGGGCUGCAGCCACAGGGACGGACCUGCGCUGCCCUUGCCGCCACUGUCGUCGCCACGGGCGUCUGGGCUCCCUGCUCCUCGCAGCUAAAAGGCGGUGCCUCCUGAUACCCCCUGGUCCCCCCCCCCCCCACUUUCCUUGAUAGACGAAAAGUAACCUUUCUCAUCCACCUGCUAAACUACAAUCCAGGGCUCUGAGGAGUCCUCUGGUUCUGCAGAUUAAACUCCCAGCAACAACUUCAAGAAUAAUUCUCCGUAGGGGGCUGGGAGGAAUGCACCCAGAAGAGUGAGGCUGAAGUUCUUAGAGGCUCUGAAAAAUCAUGGGCUCCGCAGAAGGGGUCGGAAUGCUCAAAGGCCCACACUUCAUGAUAUAAACAGAAUGCUCACCAGAGGGUUGCAACUGUUUUGGAAACAGCUUUGUGAGAGGAGGUUCCAGAUCUAGUCACAUCCCUACGUUAGAGAAACUGAAAGACUUCUAAUUCCUUUACUUGGAUG
rnacentral:lncRNA from 1 species